AGAGUUUGAUCCUGGCUCAGGACGAACGCUGGCGGCGUGCUUAACACAUGCAAGUCGAGCGAUGAAGUUUCUUCGGAAAUGGAUUAGCGGCGAACGGGUGAGGAACACGUGAAGAAUCUGCCCUCCACUUUGGGAUAACACCGGGAAACCGGUGCUAAUACCGAAUAUUGAAACAUAAGUGGCAUCACUGAGUUUUGAAAGAAUUUCGGUGGAGGAUGACUUCGCGGCCUAUCAGCUAGUUGGUGAGGUAAUGGCUCACCAAGGCAACGACGGGUAGCCGGCCUGAGAGGGCGACCGGCCACACUGGGACUGAGACACGGCCCAGACUCCUACGGGAGGCAGCAGUGGGGAAUAUUGGGCAAUGGAGGAAACUCUGACCCAGCGACGCCGCGUGCGGGAUGAAGGCCUUCGGGUUGUAAACCGCUUUCAGCAGGGAAGAAGCGAAAGUGACGGUACCUGCAGAAGGAGCACCGGCUAACUAUGUGCCAGCAGCCGCGGUAAUACAUAGGGUGCAAGCGUUGUCCGGAAUUAUUGGGCGUAAAGAGCUCGUAGGUGGUUCGUCACGUCGGAUGUGAAACUCUGGGGCUUAACCCCAGACCUGCAUUCGAUACGGGCGAGCUUGAGUAUGGUAGGGGAGUCUGGAAUUCCUGGUGUAGCGGUGGAAUGCGCAGAUAUCAGGAGGAACACCAAUGGCGAAGGCACAUCUCUGGGCCGUAACUGACGCUGAGGAGCGAAAGCGUGGGGAGCGAACAGGAUUAGAUACCCUGGUAGUCCACGCCGUAAACGGUGGGUGCUAGCUGUGGGCCACAUUCCACGUGGUCCGUGACGAAGUUAACACAUUAAGCACCCCGCCUGGGGAGUACGGCCGCAAGGCUAAAACUCAAAGGAAUUGACGGGGGCCCGCACAAGCGGCGGAGCAUGCGGAUUAAUUCGAUGCAACGCGAAGAGCCUUACCAAGGCUUGACAUAUAGAGGAAAAGUGCAGAAAUGUACUCCCCGCAAGGUCUCUAUACAGGUGGUGCAUGGUUGUCGUCAGCUCGUGUCGUGAGAUGUUGGGUUAAGUCCCGCAACGAGCGCAACCCUCGUCCUAUGUUGCCAGCACGUAAUGGUGGGAACUCAUGGGAUACUGCCGGGGUCAACUCGGAGGAAGGUGGGGAUGACGUCAAAUCAUCAUGCCCCUUAUGUCCAGGGCUUCACACGUGCUACAUUGGCGCAUACAAAGGGCUGCGAUACCGCGAGGUGGAGCCAAUCCCAAAAAGUGCGUCUCGGCUCGGAUUGGAGGCUGAAACUCGCCUCCAUGAAGGCGGAGUUGCUAGUAAUCCCGGAUCAGCAAUGCCGGGGUGAAUACGUUCCCGGGUCUUGUACACACCGCCCGUCACACCACGAAAGCAAGCAACACCCGAAGUCGGUGAGCUAACUCGCAAGAGAGGCAGCCGCCGAAGGUGGGGCUCGUGAUUGGGGUGAAGUCGUAACAAGGUAACCGU
rnacentral:rRNA from 1 species